GUGAAAUAAAAAAGGCUAAGAUAGAGAGACAGAGUCAGAAAAGCAGAGACGAAAGGGAGGAGAAGAGGAAGAAAAUGAAGAGAAGAAGAAUAGGGAAGACGAAGAGAAGAAGGAGAAGAAGAAGAGAGAAGAUGAAGAAUACCACCUCCUCAGCUUCUUCGAUUGACAGGUUAGGCUUCUUCCUCUCCCUCAAUCUCUUUCUCUCUUUCUCUGUCUCAUCUCCUCCCUCGAUCUCUUUCUCUCUUUCUGUCUCCUUCGAUCUCUUUCUCUGUCUCCUUUGCAACAGUUUUCUCUCUUUCUCUGUCUUCGUCUCCUCUGCAACAGUUAGGGUUCUUCGAUCCAUUCAUGCGUGUCCGGAAAGUGUCCCGGCGUGUCCAUGGCGUGUCUGACUGAAAAAUUUCAAAAAAAAAAAGGGAUACGUUAGAGAGAGUGUCGGACACGUGUCUACUGCGUGUCUGUGUCCGUGUCCGACACGUGUCCGACACUCGUACGUAAGGCCUAGGGAUGUGUUGGUGCUUCAUAGAUUACAAGUAGUCCUAGGUUUAUCAGGCUCACAAUCAUCAAGUAAAGUGAAGUGUUCCCAAACCUCAAAUUUCUUUUUAUCUAAAUUAAUACUAGGGCAUGGAUGAGUUUUAUCAGAAUUUUUGGUAGGCAUUGUGGUAGUGGUAGAACUAGCAAUAGUAGUUGAUUCUGCAGUUGGUAUAGGAAGGUUUCCACCAUCAUUUGUAUUUUCCUCAUCCAUUCUCUAUUUCAAAAAUAAAAAAUUUAUAUGAAUGAUAAGUAAAUAAAUAAAAAUUAUCAAUGAUAAUAAGUAUGUAUCAAUAAAAGAGAGUGCAUAGACAGAGAGAGAACAACCGGGCCAUUUUUUUUGUUUUUUUGAAUAGGGGUCAGCUGGGCCAUGUACCUAAUACCAACUAUCAAUGGUGUUAUAUAUAUAUAUAUAUGUGUGUGUGUGUGUAUAAAGCAGAGAGAGCACAAGAACACAGAGAGAGCAACGAGAGAAAAGAGUAGCGCGCGUGCGAGAGAGAGAGAGAGAGAGAGAGAGAAAGCAGCGAGAGAAAGCAGUGAGAGAAACGUACCGACGAGUCGACGAUGACGACGAGUAGGUGGCCGCCGAUUGGCAAGGGAAGGAGAAACCAGCGGCGGCAGUGAGGAGAGGCUAACAGCGGUGAGCCGAUCGGCAAGGUAAUGAAAAGGAAUUGGUGAAAUGUUGUGCAUAGCAGUGAUGAAUCAAUGUGAAUGAGAUGAAAUUGAAAUGUGUGGGUGUCAAUUAGGUUUAAUUGAGGAAUUAUUGUGUGUGUGAGUAUAUGUAUGAUAGAUAUAAUCUGUGGCUGGAUUUGUGUGUAUAACAGGCGAUUUUUUUUUGUUUUUUUUGAAACAGAUGCGGGUCGGGUCGGUUAGACCUGCGGGUUGGAAAAUUUCACCCGCAACCUGUGUUGACCGGCUAGAGCUGGGCCUCCCACCCGCCCAACCUGCCCGCCAGAGUUGAAAAUUUGUGUGGUUCAGAGCGAUUCAGUGCGGUUUUGGCGAUAUUAUGCACAACCCUACUGGAAUGAAGUGGAAUUGAAUGAUCAUUUCAUCAAAAAUUUCAUUCUCAUGUUUGGUUUUUUAAAAAAGAUGAUGAAAAAUGUAUUAGAAAUGGAAUCAUCAUUUGCUGUACAAGGGAAAUGAUCAUUCCAUAGGAGAGCCAAAGGAAUGGUCAUUCCAUUCCAUUCUAUCUCAUUCCAGUGAAUCAAAUAGAGCAUAACGGUAAUAUUGUGUGGAUCCAUAGAACAAGCAUUCUUGAGUUCAGUUAGUUUAUGGAGGAAAUUUGCCUUUUCAUUGCACCAAUUUUGUAUAAGAGUGGGUAUAUUAACUUUUAUGCCCAUUACUCAAAGCUCUUAUAUGACGGCUUCUUUAUCAUCAUCAUCUUCUUUUUACCAUGUUAUCUAUAAACAAAUGGAAAAUAUAAGUAAUCACAUUUUGCUACCUUAGGUUUGGAGCUGAAAAACUACACGCCUUAGAUUAUCAAGAAUAAAAAACUUGAAUAAAAACAGUGUUUUGAAACUUCUCUUAGAGGGGAAAAUAUCCUAAACCUAUGAAGUAUAAGUAUGGAUACAGGUUGUAGGUAUGACAAAUAUAUAUGUUGAACGAGCUAAUUCUAAAAAAGUAGGAUAAAAAAAUGCAUUAAGAAUAUGACAAUAUAUAAAUGUGUGUAUCAUGUAUGUAUGUAUAUGCAUGGUUGUCUAAAUUGUACGAUUUGCGAUAUGAUUUGAUAUGAUUUUUGCAUAGAAUGAUUCAAAUCGCAACUUGGAAUUGGAAAAUCAAAAGAAUUGUCUGAUUCAAAAUCGGAAUCGUUUGAAUCGAUUUGAAUCGCCAAUACGGAUGAGUCGAAGCGAUUCAAAUUUUUUCUUUUUCCUCCCAGAUGUGUAAAAUGACAUUGUUUGAUGUCUUUAACCCCAAAUAAGUCCAUAUCAUCGAUAUACAGUAGAGAAGCCAAAAGGUCAAGCUAAGGCUUGACGAGCGAGGAAUCAAAGAGAGAAGGGGAGAAUCUGUCCAGGAAGAAGCGACGAACCUGUCAAGGAAGAAAUCUAAAGUAGCUAGUGAGGAAUCAAAGAAAGAAGUGGAGAAUUUGUCAAGGCAGGAGCAACGAACCUGUCGUCUUCUCUCAGUCGGAAAUCGAUUCACGAUUUGAUUUGUGAUUUGACAACCAUGUGUACAUAAACAUUAAGGUAUUUUCAUCACAACAUGUUGAAUUGUUGUCUAUCUAAAAGUUUAAGCUGUUAGGGACAUAUGUAACUUUAUUAUUUAUAUCCUUUUACAUGUCCCCUCACGUGUGGUCAUGUUCUUCUCUGUAAGCCAGCCAAACGUGCAACAAUUAUAUUUAUCUGGUAGGCAGUGAGAUUUAAGCCCAUGAUUAGUUGUUGACUCUGAUACUAAGGAGUAUGCAAUGUAUUGGAAAUUAUUCUUGCAUUUAUUUUAACAAUGAUAAUCUAAAGCUAUAUAAGAAAUGCCACAUCUUGAUUUUAGGAUGGUUCAUAUACCUAAAGUAUCCAGAAAGUAUAUGAUACUCUUAUCAUAAUAAAAAAAAAAAAAAUUAUGGAUAUGUUUAGAAAGUAUCAAAUGUAUUCAACAAGUAUUGAGGAGUAUCAUUAUUGAUGCCUACUCCCUAUGAUAAGAGUAACCCGUGACCGACCAUCUUUCUGUAGUGCUACAACCCUUUCUAUUUGACUAAAAUGGCAUCCACCUGAAGUACCU